AGCCGCGGUAACACCGGCGGCCCGAGUGGUGAUCGUGAUAUUGGGUCUAAAGGGUCCGUAGCCGGUUGGUCAGUCCUCCGGGAAAUCUGAUAGCUCAACUAUUAGGCUUUCGGGGGAUACUGCCAGACUUGGAACCGGGAGAGGUAAGAGGUACUACAGGGGUAGGAGUGAAAUCUUGUAAUCCCUGUGGGACCACCUGUGGCGAAGGCGUCUUACCAGAACGGGUUCGACGGUGAGGGACGAAAGCUGGGGGCACGAACCGGAUUAGAUACCCGGGUAGUCCCAGCCGUAAACGAUGCUCGCUAGGUGUCAGGCAUGGCGCGACCGUGUCUGGUGCCGCAGGGAAGCCGUGAAGCGAGCCACCUGGGAAGUACGGCCGCAAGGCUGAAACUUAAAGGAAUUGGCGGGGGAGCACAACAACGGGUGGAGCCUGCGGUUUAAUUGGACUCAACGCCGGACAACUCACCGGGGGCGACAGCAAUAUGUAGGCCAAGCUGAAGACUUUGCCUGAAUCGCUGAGAGGAGGUGCAUGG
rnacentral:rRNA from 1 species